rnacentral:rRNA from 1 species
UACGUAGGGUGCAAGCGUUAAUCGGAAUUACUGAGCGUAAAGCGUGCGCAGGCGGUUAUGUAAGACAGUUGUGAAAUGCCCGGGCUUAACCUGGGAACUGCAUUUGUGACUGCAUGGCUAGAGUUUGGCAGAGGGGGGUAGAAUUCCACGUGUAGCAGUGAAAUGCGUAGAUAUGUGGAGGAACACCGAUGGCGAAGGCAGCCCCCUGGGUCAAGACUGACGCUCAUGCACGAAAGCGUGGGGAGCAAACAGG